rnacentral:rRNA from 1 species
AUGGAGGGGAAAACUACUCUAUGCUUUCUCAUGGUGCUUCUGCUGCUAGGAAAUUUUGCUCAUGCUGAGAACAGCUGCAAAGAGCACCGUACUUUGGAGAUAGGCUGCAUAAGAAAAUAUUGUAGGAAAAACUGCAUCAGAGACUACGAAGGACAUCGUGUCAGGAAUGCUUAUUGUACUGGCUUUAUCCCCUUCAUCUUUUGUGUCUGCGACGUCUGUGACGGCUAG